rnacentral:tmRNA from 1 species
GGGGGCGUUAAGGCUUCGACAGUUAUUUUGUUGAGUUUUCUAAGCGUGCUGGCAGGCUCGACUGCCUAAAAACGGAAAUUAAAAAUAAACGCUGAUCAAAAAUUAGCACUUGCUGCCUAGUGUAGCACGACUGACUGCUAGGCUUACAUAGCAGACCCAGUUGCAAGAAAGUAAGAUGCGAUGCAAAUUUUUGCUUGAAAGAUUUGCAUCUAAGAUAAAUCAAGCAAAUUCAUUUAAUGUUUGCCAAAUUGAGUAAAUGAAUUAAUAAAAUUUGGCUGGGACACGAAGAAAGGGAAAUAAGACAAUAAUUGGACAUGGGUUCAAUUCCCAUCGCCUCCACCA